GUUAAGCCUGCAGGUUCUCCAAUGCAUCCAGUUAUGAAUCCCUUCCCUCUCCUUGCACAAGGCCAGUUCAGAAACCUGACUCUGCACUCCGUAGAGGAGAAAACCUUCCCAUUGAUCCCAAAUGAUGAUUGAUCUCUCCCAUUAGAGCCUGCUCACCCCUUAGGGAACUUGGAAAGGAGAUGAGAAAGCAAGAGAAAGUAAAAGCAAGCAGAGCAUCCCUCUCCACCCCCUGCACCUGCCUUACCACAGGUUUUAAAGAAUUUCCUCCAGUCUUUGAACAGCUCCAGGGAGACAGCCUGAGCUCCCGUUCAGUCUGUAGAAGGUUCUUUCUCUAGAUAAGUGUUUCCCAACCUGGCUACACAACAGAAGGACUCAAGGAAUUCAUUAAAAACAUCAGUUUCUAUGCCUGACCCCAGAGAUUCUGAUUUGGAACACAUGCAGUAGCUUUGGCUUUCUUGUGCUAAAAUGUUCUUCCCACCAUCUCUGCCAACUGAACUCCUGAAUCUUUAAGGACAAGCUCAAAUGCUACCAGCUUCUAGAAGCUUCCAAGAUUUCUUCCAGUUAGUUCUCUCUCAAGAAUUCCAGUAAAUUUCCAGAGCACUU
ensembl:lncRNA novel transcript